AAUCUUUCCCUUUCAAAAAUCUGUGCACAGACUCUCAGAAGCACCGUUGUUGCUCACAUGGUGGGAACUCCCUGCAGGAGCUUUUCUUCCCAAGAAGCUGUCUAGACCCCAGCACCUCCCGACUGCUGAGCCAGCCCCAUUCCAGUUGCCAGCUUGUUACAACAUCAGAAGAAGAAUUCAAAGUGCUGAUUUAUCUGCUAUUGGAAAUGUCUCUAGGGAUGAAAGCAGAUAUGAGGAAAACUGUGGGAGAAGGAUGCUACGAAGUCUGGCUGGUAGCUGUUGAACAAAAAGAAGAGAAAAGAAAAAAAAGUUUGAUACUUGAUCCCAGUCUUUUGUUGGAGAAUGAACAGUAGUUUUAUUUUAGAGCUGAAAGGCUUCCAAACACAAAGA